AUCUCAUCGGAGAGAAUUAGAAAUAAUUUGGGCUUAUAUUUAUGAGAUUGGCCACAUUGAAUCAAACCCAAAGGUUGGAAAACCAGCCGUCCUACACGCCGACGACGCUUUAAUUACGCGCGCCGUUCGAUGAUGCGAAGUUAAGAGGACUGAUAAUCAUCGUGAAAUUCAUCAAAAUUACUCGACGCUUGUGUUGUGAUCGAGAAGAAGCUUCGAGCUUUUGGAUUUUCCACUCGACGCUCUCAAUGUUAUGCAGGAUUACUCGAGCUACGCGUAAACUGCCCGACACCUACUAUCCGAAAAAGGAAAAGUUCCGGUGUACGUGAAUACCAAUUUGAUGUGGGUUGUUGGCCAGAAGGUUUAACGGCUCUUUUGCAUGCAGCAGAGAGAAAUGGAAAGAUUCAUGGCGUCUCUUUUGGCCAAUCGUUUCCUAGCUAGAAUCUCUCACCUGUUUUUUGCAUAUGACAGCCUUCUUUUUCUCAACGUCAUUGAGGAGGAAGCACUAGCUGGGAGGAACAUACUUCAAACCUAUGAGAACUCCUCUGGUCAGAAAAAGAUAAACCUGGACAAAUCUGCUCUAGUAGUGGGCAAAAAACAUGUCUCAAGAGCGAGCUAGCUCUAGUCUUAUCCGGCAUUUUAGGGGUCAGGGUAUCGAAGCAACAUGACAAAUAUUUGGGGUUACCUACUGAGGUGGGCAAAUAAAAAAAGGAGGUUAUCGGGAACAUUAGAGAGAGUUUGGAACAAGCUGCAAGGUUGGACGGAACAGCUUGUAGCCCAAGCCGGAAAGGAGAUACUUAUAAAGGUCGUCAUCCAAGGAAUUCCAUCAUAGUCCAUGGGUUGUUUCAAACUCCCAGUUUACCUCAUCAAAGACUUUCUCUUAGCUGUAACUUUUGGUGGGGCCAAAAGAAUGGGUAGCGAAAAACCCAUUGGGUAGCAUAGUCGAAGCUUUGUGUCCGAAAGGGAAGUGGCGAAUUGGGAUUCAGAGAUUUAGGAGCUUUCAACCAUGCAAUGCUAGGCAAACAAACUUGGAGAAUCUGCCAAGACCAAAAUUCUCUUACUUCAAGAGGUUUUUUGGUCUGUUGAUAUUGAGAACAUGGUCAACAACCCGUUGGGAAACAAUUCAGCCUCGGACAUAUUAUAUGGUAUCACACCUGUCAUGGGGAUUACUCAGUUCUUGUCGGUAUUUGGCAGAGAGAGCGGUUUUGUUUUAUGGGAUAGUUUUACAUAAUUUUGUGCAACCAGCAAGUCUUUCCGACAAUACUUGAUUAAAUGUUCUUCCAUUUAAGUUCUUUUUUUUUCUUUGACGGCUACUUCUAAGUUCCUAACAAUAUGUAAUGCAGACAUGUUCAACAAAUG